rnacentral:rRNA from 1 species
UACGUAGGGUGCAAGCGUUAAUCGGAAUUACUGGGCGUAAAGCGUGCGCAGGCGGUUUUGUAAGUCUGAUGUGAAAUCCCCGGGCUCAACCUGGGAAUUGCAUUGGAGACUGCAAGGCUAGAAUCUGGCAGAGGGGGGUAGAAUUCCACGUGUAGCAGUGAAAUGCGUAGAGAUGUGGAGGAACACCGAAGGCGAAGGCAGCCCCCUGGGUCAAGAUUGACGCUCAUGCACGAAAGCGUGGGGAGCAAACAGG